rnacentral:rRNA from 1 species
CCUACGGGUGGCAGCAGUGGGGGAUAUUGGACAAUGGGGGAAACCCUGAUCCAGCGACGCCGCGUGAGUGAAGAAGUAUUUCGGUAUGUAAAGCUCUAUCAGCAGGGAAGAAAGAAAUGACGGUACCUGAGUAAGAAGCCCCGGCUAACUACGUGCCAGCAGCCGCGGUAAUACGUAGGGGGCAAGCGUUAUCCGGAUUUACUGGGUGUAAAGGGAGGGUAGACGGUAAUGCAAGUCUGGAGUGAAAGGCGGGGGCUCAACCCCCGGACUGCAUUUGAAACUGUGUAACUGGAGUGCAGGAGAGGCAGGCGGAAUUCCUAGUGUAGCGGUGAAAUGCGUAGAUAUUAGGAGGAACACCAGUGGCGAAGGCGGCCUGCUGGACUGUAACUGACGUUGAGGCGCGAAAGCGUGGGGAGCAAACAGGAUUAGAUACCCCAGUAGUC